UCAGUGUGUUUCGAGGAGCCUUUACUGC
rnacentral:piRNA from 1 species